rnacentral:rRNA from 1 species
AUUGAACGCUGGCGGCAGGCCUAACACAUGCAAGUCGAACGAGUGGCGGACGGGUGAGUAAUGUCUGGGAAACUGCCUGAUGGAGGGGGAUAACUACUGGAAACGGUAGCUAAUACCGCAUACCAUCAGAUGUGCCCAGAUGGGAUUAGCUAGUUGGUGGGGUAAAGGCUCACCAAGGCGACGAUCCCUAGCUGGUCUGAGAGGAUGACCGGCCACACUGGAACUGAGGGACGGUCCAGACUCAUACGGGAGGCAGCAGUGGGGAAUAUGGCACAAUGGGCGCAAGCCUGAGGCAGCCAUGCCGCGUGUGUGAAGAGGGCCGUCGGGUUGUAAAGUACUUGCAGCGGGGAGGCGUUACCCGCAGAAGAAGCACCGGCUAACUCCGUGCCAGCAGCCGCGGUAAUUC